UUCUUGUUCACAGAAAAAUGGAGUGGUGGAGUCUACUACAUCUUGCUCUCCUACGGACAGUAAAUACUUAUACAAGCCUAUGUUCCCAGCUGUGUGUCCUGGGUGCUUCUGGUUCUCUCCUUCUCAACCACAACUCAGCCAAAGAUUCUUUGGGACACUCGCAAGAUUCCCCAAAGAGCCUGACGUGAAUUGGAAAACACUGGUCCCUGUUGAAAGUUUGGGAUUCUUUUUAUUUGGAAAAAAAGAUUGUAUAAGAGCUAAACUCUGGAUGCACAAGAAAGCACUAACUCACAUAAUUGAAGCACCACUUGAAACUCUUCCUGCCUUUCAGUAACAUGAUGAUAUGUGACUAUAAUCACAAAAGAAGAAGCCACUUUGUUAAGAAGAAAAGCAAUGUGUGUGAAAAUGCCAAGUAUGAAUUUAGGGAUCAUGGAAAUUACCAGGAUGGCAACCAGAGGGAUGGAGAUCUGCUAUUUAUUCACAAAACAGAGACAGCAAGAGGAUUAAUCAUUCAAAUUCCACCAUGCUUCUGGGCCAGUGUGCUUCCUGCAUGACUCAGAAGACAACUUCCAGCACUGAGAGGAUACUUUGGACCCCAUGCCCAUUCAGUCCUUAGCUUCUCAGCUGAGACUGCCAAUGUGGCUAUGAAUUAGUGCUGCUUUUCUUAACUUUUGUGAUAUUGACAUGUGUACAUAUUGAUUGAAACCAUCCAACAGCCACAAAAUAGCAGCAAUUCUUGUCUUGAUUAAGAUCUGAAUUGUCUUUACAUAGGGUGACCAUAUUUCCCUAUGCU